rnacentral:lncRNA from 1 species
CACAUGUAUAUGUCAUUCCAGACUAGUUUUGACCAUAUUAUUAUUAUCAUUAUUAGCCCAGAAUUAUUCAUAUGUUAAAUGAAAAUAACAAUACAAUUUACAUUAUUCCUCCCCUCAGAUGGGUAUUACAAUGCAAAAACACCUUUCCCUGCCUGAGAUUAAGCGGUGCACAGAUUCCUGCAGUGAUUUCCACUGUCCAUUCUGUGGUCCUAACCAUUUCAAGCUGACAGAGCUGGGAAGAGUGAAGCGUCACCUUAACAUGCACUUCACUAGAUCUGUCAAUGACGGUAACUUUCAAAAAUGUUGUAACAAUUUACAUAUUUGUAAGACAUUCAUUAAUAUCCUGCUACCGGUAUUUCAUUUCAGAACCCUGAUAAAAAAAAGUGCACAGACUGUGCUGAAGGUCACCGAUGAUGUGGAAUUCAUUUUUGGCUUCCUGCUUCCAGAGGAUCCGUCCUCCGUUUGUCCACUUCGUUGGUCCGUCCUUGGUGGUGGGCUCCUCCAAAACAGAGCCGAGUGUCCUGUGCUCUCACCGCCGCAUUUGAGCUCAAUUGGAACGGCCUCCGGAGCGAGCGGUUGCGUCAUGUACGCAUGGAUCUAAUGUAUUAUGUACUUGUCAAAUCAUAUAAUAAAAUGUCAAUCUAUGCUUACAAAAACUACUGUUUUAUGAAUAAAAGCUCUUUAUAAACUGGUUUUGGUCUUACUGUUUAAACAUUUUGGCAAUAAUAAAAUAACAAUUCUGCAAGGAUUUGUAAGAAAUUCAAUCCAAAUAUUAAAUAUAUUUAGCAGGCCCAGUUUAGUGCUCAUAGCUACAAUCGGUCAAAAAAUUGUGUCGUCGCAUUCGGCCCACAGGAGCGCGCCAUUGUGGAGGUGGCGUGAUUAUCGCUUACCGCUACACAGAAAAGUUUGCAGUAAGAAAAUGGUGAACAGUUGUUACGUGAAAAGUUGCUGUAGCAAUUCUGACCAAAAAAUACACCAACAACUACGUUUCCAUAGGUUUCCUAGUUGGAAAAUAUGCCAUGGAGGGCAGGUUAAGCAAUUACCAGGGAACGCCAGUCAGCCGUGGGGCGCAAUGAUUUCCUUCUGG